rnacentral:tRNA from 1 species
GGGUAUGAAAGGGUAUCUGAGCUGACUUUUAAUCAGUAGGUCCAGGGUUCGAAUCCCUGCGCGCUCACCA